GGGACAACAUUCGGAAACGGAUGCUAAUACCCCAUAGGUGGAUUGGUCGCAUGACGAAUUCAUUAAAGGUGGCUUUGCUACCACUCAUGGAUAGCCUCGCGGCGUAUUAGCUAGUUGGUAAGGUAAUGGCUUACCAAGGCAGUGAUACGUAGCCGACUUGAGAAGGUGAUCGGCCACACUGGGACUGAGACACGGCCCAG
rnacentral:rRNA from 1 species